rnacentral:rRNA from 1 species
UAGGGAAUCUUCGGCAAUGGACGAAAGUCUGACCGAGCAACGCCGCGUGAGUGAAGAAGGUUUUCGGAUCGUAAAACUCUGUUGUUAGAGAAGAACAAGGACGUUAGUAACUGAACGUCCCCUGACGGUAUCUAACCAGAAAGCCACGGCUAACUACGUGCCAGCAGCCGCGGUAAUACGUAGGUGGCAAGCGUUGUCCGGAUUUAUUGGGCGUAAAGCGAGCGCAGGCGGUUUCUUAAGUCUGAUGUGAAAGCCCCCGGCUCAACCGGGGAGGGUCAUUGGAAACUGGGAGACUUGAGUGCAGAAGAGGAGAGUGGAAUUCCAUGUGUAGCGGUGAAAUGCGUGGAUAUAUGGAGGAACACCAGUGGCGAAGGCGGCUCUCUGGUCUGUAACUGACGCUGAGGAUCGAAAGCGUGGGGAGCAAACAGG